CAGAAUAAGUAAGGCUAUUAGAAGGAACAAACUGAUUACUAACUAACUGCAGUAAAUAAAACUAACAAAACGAACAGACUAACUGCAAUAAAUAAACUAAACUAAGUAAGCGCAGAGCAAACCAAGAAUGAAAAAGACUACUAAAAGAAAGAAAUAAAACUUAACUAAGAAAAUACAGUAAAUAAAAUAGAAACUGUUGGUGCAAAAAUCUGCCUG
rnacentral:lncRNA from 1 species